GACGAACCGAGCGAACGUUGUUCGGAAUCACUGGGCUUAAAGGGCGCGUAGGCGGGUGCUCAAGUCUGUGGUGAAAUCCUCCGGCUCAACCGGAGAACUGCCAUGGAUACUGGGUGCCUCGAGGGUGAUAGGGGUAUGCGGAACUAUCGGUGGAGCGGCGAAAUGCGUUGAUAUCGAUAGGAACUCCGGUGGCGAAGGCGGCAUACUGGAUCACUUCUGACGCUGAGGCGCGAAAGCCAGGGGAGCGAACGGG
rnacentral:rRNA from 1 species